rnacentral:rRNA from 1 species
GACGAACGCUGGCGGCGUGCUUAACACAUGCAAGUCGAACGGAAAGGCCCUGCUUGCAGGGUACUCGAGUGGCGAACGGGUGAGUAACACGUGGGUGAUCUGCCCUGUACUUCGGGAUAAGCCUGGGAAACUGGGUCUAAUACCUGAUAUGAGCCAUGUUUAGUGUGAUGGUUGGAAAGUUUUUUCGGUGUAGGGUGAGCUCGCGGUCUAUCAGCUUGUUGGUGCGGUGAUGGCCUACCAAGGCGGCGACGGGUAGCCGGCCUGUGGGGGUGGACGGCCACAUUGGGACUGAGAUACGGCCGAGACUCGUACGGGAGGCAGCAGUGGGGAAUAUUGAACAAUGGGCGCAAGCCUGAUGCAGCGGCGCCGCGUGGUGGAUGACGGCCUUCGGGUUGUAAACUCCUUUCGCUAGGAACGACGCUUUUUGUGACGGUACCUAGAUAAUAAGCACCGGCUAACUACGUG